UGGAAUAUAUUAUAUAUUAAAACAGUAAUAUGACAUUAAUGUCAAUCGCUGUUAAAGCUCAGUAUCUUUUAGAGUUUGCUGGAGAUCAGUGAAGAGUUUAAAGAGUUAAAUUAUCUUGUCAAAAUGUGUCAUUUUAUUCGAGCAAUGUUUUUGUUCGUGAUUAUCGCAUUAUCACUGACAAUCAUCUUAGCAGCGCCUGCACCAUUGCCACGCCCAAACCCUCAAUGGUUAGUGAGCCCUUACGCUUACGCUUAUCCAUCUUAUUAUAACAGCUACUACUACUCAGCUCCAGCUUACGGAUACUACAUUUUGUAGGAUACCUAGUAUAAUGUAGCCAACGAAGACGAUAAUUUCCUGGAUUUGAUACUAACCGAAUAAUAAAACAAUGUAACUAGGCAAGACAAAUUUCUUGCUGCAUAGAGGAUGACAGUUAUUACUCAUAAUAAAUAAAAAAUUUAAUGUUUUUAUAAUAAGUGUUGAAGACAAUAUAUUAGUGAUUAAAUAUAUAAUAUCGAGAAAA